rnacentral:rRNA from 1 species
GACGAACGCUGGCGGCGUGCUUAACACAUGCAAGUCGAACGGAAAGGCCCUGCUUUUGUGGUGUGCUCGAGUGGCGAACGGGUGCGUAACACGUGAGUAACCUGCCCUUGACUUUGGGAUAACUUCAGGAAACUGGGGCUAAUACCGGAUAGGAGCUCCUGCUGCAUGGUGGGGGUUGGAACGUUUCGGCGGUUGGGGAUGGACUCGCGGCUUAUGAGCUUGUUGGUGGGGUAGUGGCUUACCAAGGCUUUGACGGGUAGCCGGCCUGAGAGGGUGACCGGCGACAAUGGGACUGAGAGACGGCCCAGACUCCUACGGGAGGCAGCAGUGGGGAAUAUUGCACAAUGGGCGGAAGCCUGAUGCAGCAACGCCGCGUGCGGGAUGACGGCCUUCGGGUUGUAAACCGCUUUCGCCUGUGACGAAGCGUGAGUGACGGUAAUGGGUAAAGAAGCACCGGCUAACUACGUG